rfam:Oryza glumipatula chromosome 2, whole genome shotgun sequence.
UUUAAGUGCAAUCAUAAGUUUCCGUGCCUAAUUUUGAUCGUUCGACUAAUUUGAUUUUUUUUAUAAUUAGUAUUUUUAUUGUUAUGAGAUGAUAAGACAUAAAUAGUACUUUAUACGUGACUUAUGUUUUAAAUUUUUUUCAAAAUUUUUUUAAAUAAGACGGACGAUCAAAGUCGUGCAUAAAAAAACGUGGCUGUACUUAAA